GGAUUAGUUCAAUUGGUUCAGAGCAUUCCGAUUUUUAAUCGGAAGUGGUCGGGGGUUCGAACCCCUCAUCGCCCA
rnacentral:tRNA from 2 species